rnacentral:piRNA from 1 species
UGGAGUCCUUUCACUGAAAACUGCUGC